GUCUCCGGGGCGGGGGUCUCCGGGACCGGGGGUCUCAGAGCCCCGGGUCUCCUGGGUCGGCGGUCUCAGGGUGGGGUCGCGAUUGCUGUCACCCGGCAGCGCCUCCUUCGUCGCCGUCCGAGCGCACGUUCAAGUUCCCCGUCGGCCCGGUCGGCCUUCUCCAUAGUUUCCGGCCCUCGGUGCUCGCAAGUUGUGAGCCCCGGUCCAUUUCUUUGUUCGGAGAUGAAAUGACACACAUGGCAGGCGGCCUCCACAGGGACGCGUCCUGCCCCCGGGCCUGCCCGGCCGCGGACGGGGCGCUCAGGGUGCUGUCCUGGCGCCAGCACCUCGGCCGGCGUCCCCGGGCAGCUGUGGACUCCGGCCGCUGCUCCUGGGUAAAUAAGCUGCGGCUCAAGGCGCCGGUCUGUGAAGCCUGGAAAGUUUACAUUCUUGUCUGUGCAGAUAGACGGCAGAAGGCAUAGUAACCACGCUACACUCCCAGCUCUCCAACGUGAUGAAAGCUGGCAGCUUCACGGUUCUCCUCCAGCUAACGUCACUCCAGAAGCUGUCGGCCACCAUUGGUCCUGCAAGUAGUCUGAAGUUGCAGAGGUUGUAAAAGGUUAUUUUAAAUGCUUUAGUUAAUGUAUUAACGUUUUAUUCCUGAUGAAUCAAACAGAACCUGUGGUGAACUUCUGUGGUUUGGUAGCGAAGUUUGAAUGCAGCAGAAUUUAAAGUGCUGAUGUUGUUAAAUGGGACCAAACCCUGGUUUACUGGCUAAGAUGACGUAAGUGGCUUUUGCUCCUUAUUUAUAUUUUAGGGAGUGUAGUUUGACAUGCAGUCUGUAAAAUGUAAAGAGUAAAGAGCGUUGUUAGGGUAUUCUGUUUGUUUACAGGUAACUCAUUGAAGAGCUACCUACUGGUGAAGCAGUGGGGUUAUGAAUAACAGUUUGUUCUCAGGACUCACGGGUGGCUUUACACUCAGAGCAUACUGGGACAGGUGUCUGCCAGGCGUUUGUACCUUCCAAGUCAAAGCAGUAUAUGCUUUCCUUUUGUGAUCAGAAAAAAUCACCCAGCUGGCUGGUCCCAAAAGAUUUUCCAGCCGGUCCACACUUCUGUCUUUCUGCUCACUGGGGCAGAGAAGGCUUUGCCAGCUUUGUAUGCUAUUCUCUCUACCCCCUUUCCAAUGAAUUUCUCACAGACCCUGUGUUCACCUGGGCUUUCUUCUCUGGCCCCGCCUAAUAUUCUUACCCACUGGGCCCAGGCAGGAAGCGGUUGGCCUGGUUGUUUUUAAUACAGUGACUGCUUCGCUGCCAGGCAUGACAUGAAUUUGCCGUAACACAUUACCAUACACUUGCUGGGUUAAAACACAAAGCUCUAUUAUCUUAAGAGUUCUGGAGGUGAGAUGUCCAGAAGGUCUCACCAGUGUAAAACCAAGGUGUCAGCAGUGCUGCUCCUUUCUAGAGUGUCUAGGCGGGAAUCCAUUCCCUUGCCUUUUCCAGCUUCUAGAGGCCGCCUGCAUUCCUUGGUUUAUUGCCCCUUCCAUCUUCAAAGCCAUCGGGUAGCAGCUUCUCAUCUCUUUCUAGCCUCCUGGCUUUCUGUUGCAGAGGUUCUUUGUGAUUACAUUGUAUCCACCGGUAUAAUCUCCCAGUUUUAGUGUCAGCUGAUUAACAACCUUUAUUCCAUCAGCAGCCUUAAUUCCCCUUUGCCAUGUAAGGUGACAUAUUCAAGGGUUCUAGGGAUCAGGAUGGGGAUAUCUUUGGGGGGGCCAUUAUUUUGUCUACCAUACCGGAAGAUGAGAAGGAAGUUUAUUCUUCCCCUUUACACAGUUUUUAAAAAUCAUCUUUUAUUUUGGAGGAACCAAACAGUUUGAAUUCAAGGAGCUUCCCCACCCAUAGGAUUCACCACACAAAAGAGUUCUUAGUGGCUUAAGGUGAUCAUAUGAAGAAUAAAAGUUCAAGGUUUGCUUUAGUCUCCAGAACCUUCCACGUCCCUCAUGGCUUAUGGAGACUUUACCUUGAGAGAUAAGGCAGCUCUUCAGAUUCCACAUUUUGAAACGAAGCUUGUGCUACAGAUUCAGGAGAAGCACAUGAAAUGCGGUCCCAGAGGGUCCCUUGGAAACACCAUUGUCUUCCUGUAAGUAAACACCUUGUUGUUGGGUGCCCCGAAGUCCAUUUCUACUCUUAGCAAUCCCAUGUGACGGAGUAGAACUGCCCCAUAGAGUUUUCUAUGCUGUAAUCUUUACUGUCUUUCUCCUGUAGAGCCACUGAGUGAUUGGAACCACCAACCUUUGGGUUAGCCACCAAGUGCUUAACCAUUGUGCCACCAGGGCUCCUUAGUAAACAUUUUAAAUCUCAAUAAUUGGUUUUCAAACUAAUGAGAAAUUCUUUCCUAUGGUAUUGACUUUUUUUGUAGACUGUGUUUCAACAGUGCUUCCUUUUCUUUUGUACAUUUCCCCUCUGUUGAGAAUUGGUAAGGGUUGAUGAGUUAGCCUAGGGUACUUAACUGCUGUUUUUAAUGUUACUUCUUUGGGGAAAUGUGUUCUGAUUUUCAAGCUACCAUUUUGGUAUACAAAACUUUUGGAAGCUAACUCAUUUAUAAUAAGCUGAAGAAAGAGAAAGAGUCUUUGAGUUUUCACUUCCAUAAAGAGUUUCAGAAUCGAACAAAAAAGGCUUCCUCAACUGUACUACUCUCUAGUGUUCUCUGUAGGUCUGUGUCUGUGUCGCUGCGUUUGGAACCCUUCUCGUGGACACUCCCUAUAAUACCGUAUUGUUUAUUCAAAAGCCCUAAAGUCGCUAGACAGGUACAGUUUAGUUCAAGUACACAUGUGGGGUUGUGCUUUUAUUGGUAAACAAAAAAAAAAACCUAACAGUCUAUUUACAGUCUCUACACAAAAACAAAUUCAAAUUAGAUUAAGGACCUAAAUGUGCAGACUGAAACUGUAAGAUUCUUGGAAGAAAAUGCAGGGGCAACACUGUCAGGCCUAGGUUUUAAAAAUGGAUUGUCUAAUGCAAUAACAAAAGCACAAACAAGAAAAGACAAAAUAAAUAAAUGGGACCUCAUAAAAAUUAAAGACUUGUUUAUCAAAAGACUUUACCAAAAAAAAAAAGAAAAGAAAAGAAAAGACAGGCUACCAACUGGGAGAAUAUCUUCGGAAACCAUACAUCUGAUAAGAAUCUAAUAACCAAAAUAUAUAUAAAACUUUGACUACUUAACAACAAAAGGACAAAUAACUUAGUCAUAAAAUGAGCAAAGAACUUGAAUGGACAUUUCACCAAAGAGGACAUUAAAAUGACCACCAAAUACAUGAAAAGAUACUCAGGGUCUUUAGCCAUCAGAGGGAUGCAAAUCAAAAUCAUAAUGAGAUACCACUUCACUCCCACUAGGACGAGUAAGAUAGAAACAAACCAACAGGAACAACGGAAAAUAACAAAUGUUGAUAGGAAUGUGGGGAAAUUGGAACCCUUGUCCAUUGCUGGUAAAAAAAAUGCAGAAUGGUAUAGCCAUUGUGGAAAAGAGUGUGGCAGUUCCUCAAAAAACUAAAAAUACAAUUACCAUAUGACCCACUGUGUCCGGUCCAUCUCGUUGAGGGUCUUCCUCUUUUUUGCUGACCUUCUGUUUUACCAAGCAUGAUGUCCUUCUCUAGGGACUGGUCCCUAGAGGAUUGACACAGUGGUUGCAGUGGGCUCAAACAUAGCAACGAUUGUGAGGAUGGUGCAGGACCGGGCAAUGCUUUGUUCUGUUUUACAUAGGGUCGCUGUGAGUUGGAAUUGACUCGAUGGCACCUAACAGCAACAACAUAUAACCUAGCAAUUCCACUCCUAGGUAUAUACCCAAAAGACUUGAAAGCAGAGACUCAAAAAGAGACAUUUACACCAGUGUUCAUUGCAGCACUAUUCACAACAGCUAAAAGGUAGAAACAACCUAAAUGCUUAUCAACAGAUGAAUGGAUAAACACAAUGUGGUGCAUAGAUACAAUGAAAUGCUACUCAGGCAGUUAGAGAAAUGAAAUCUUGGUACAUGCUAUAGUAUAGAUGGUUGAAGACAUGCUGAGCGAAAUAAGCAUUUCACAAAAGGGCAACUAUUGUAUGACCUCACUUAUAUAGAAAGCAAAAAAAAGCAAAUGUAUAGAGACCAAAGUUUAUUAAUGGUUACGGGGGGCGUCGGGGGGGGGGAGUGGGGCUUAAUGGUGUUAGAAGAAUUGCAUUGAUUAAGGGUAAGGUUACACAGCUGAUUAUUGUAAUUGCUGUCAAAAAGCUGUAUGCCUGUAAAAAGUCGAAUUGGGAAAAAUUCUGUGAUAGAUAACGUUUACAACAAUGACAAAAAAAAAAAAGGUAUUAGCUGCUGAGGCUGCUAUGUACAACCAAACACUUCAUGGGUUUUGGUUCCUUGGUUUGGAGGUUUAGAGUCAUGGUUUCAUGGGACAUCCCAGUUAAUGGGCCUAAUAACACCUUUAGUGCUUCUUUCAUUUCUACCUCCUAGUUCCUUACGUAGUACCUGUAGUCUUAAGCAGCCACCCGGUCUCUAUUUCCUGGAGCAAUAGAGGAUGUGAAAUAUGUGGCUAAUUGCCUCCAUGAAAAACUGCCUCCUUUGCCCUGAGACCAGAAGAAUUGGAUGGUGCCUGGUUGCCAUUACUGAGCAUUUUGAGCAGAGAUUUCAUAGAAGGAUCCUGAUCAAAAGCAGGGGAAAUACAAAACAGAAUUUCAAAUUCUUAAGACUCCAGACUUUCUGGAGCCAUGGAGGGUGGAUGAACCCCCCAAACUAUUGCCUCGACAUGAUCUUUAAACCUUAAAGCAAAAAUAUCCCCUGAAGUCUGCUUAAAACCAAACAGUAGUCCAGCUUAACUAUGAAAAAUGUCUGCCCUUAGUAAAAUCUGUUAAGAAAACAUUCUGCAUCGCACUUUGGAGAGUAGUGUCUCGGGUCUUAAAUGCUAGCACGUGGCCAUCUAAGAUGCAUCAAUUGGUCUCAACCCACCUGGAGCAAAGGAGAAUGAAGAACACCAAAGAUACAAGGUAAUUGUAAGCCCAAGAGACAGAAAGGGCCACAUAAACCAGAGACUACAUCAGCCUAAGACCAGAGGAACUAGAUGGUGCCCGGCUACAACCGAUGACGGCCCUGACAGGGAAAGUAACAGAGAACCCCUGAGCGAGCAGGAGAGCAGUAGGAUGCAGACCUCAAAUUCUUGUAAAAAGACCAGACUUAAUGAUCUGACUGAGACUAGAAGGACCCCGGAGGUCAUGGUUCCCAGACCUUCCAUUAGCCCAAGACAGGAACCACUCCCAAAGCCAACUCUUCAGACAGGGAUUGGACCGGACUUUGGGAUAGAAAAUGACACUGGUGAGGAAUGAGCUUCUUGGAUCAAGUAGACACAUGAGACUAUGUGGGCAGCUCCUGUCUAGGUGGGAGAUGAGAGGGCAGAGGGGUUCAGAAGGCGGCUGAAUGGACACGAAAAUAGAGGGUGGAAAGAAAGAGUGUGCUGUCUCAUUAAAGGGAGAGCAACUAGGAGUAUAUAGCAAGGUGUAUAUAAAUUUUUGUAUGAGAGACUGACUUGAUUUGUAAACUUUCACUUAAAUCACUAUAAAAAUUAAAAAAAAAAGUCUGCCUUGAGCAUUGUGCUGUUUUAAGAACUGUAUGGGAUCAAUGUGACAACAGCAACUCAAAAGAUUAGGGGGCCGUGAGUUUAUGUUAAUGGAGGAGGAACAACUCAGAAAGGGAGAGUGAGAAUGGUUGUACAACUUGAAAAUGUAAUCAGUGUCACCAAAUUGUAUAUGUAGAAACUGUUGAAUGGGUGUAUGUUUUGCUGUAUACCAAACCUGUUGCCAUCUAGUAGAUUCCGACUCAUAGCUACCCUGUAGGACAGAGUAGAACUGCCCCAUAGGGUUUCCAAGGAGCAGCUGUUGGGUCUGAACUGCCGACCCUUUGGUUAGCAGCCAAGCUCUUAACCACUGUGCCACCAGAGCUCCAUAUUCUUAACAACAACAACAACAACAAAAUAAAUGUAGAAAAAAAAAAGCCUGUUAGCAUUGUGGAGUCAAACCAUACAAGCCUUUAACUUACAUAUAUUCACUGAAGUAUUUGUAUUUAGAAAGAAAAAAAAAGUAGAAAAUUAAGUUUCCCAUAUGAUCUCGUUGUAAUACCUGUGCCGUGAAGAACUAAUCAGUAUCCAUUUCUGUGUAAUACUGUAUGGGGCUGUCUGUGCAAAACCUGUGUACUGCCCUGGAAGGAGAACAUUUAAGGGGUUUUCCGCAGAGUGUUUUCAUCCUCCAGCAGUGUGGGGCGAGUGGCUGCAGUUUUGCUUUAGUUCAUUUGUAAGCUGCGUUUUUAAGGGUAAUUUCCACACCAAGUUUUAAAAUGAGAGUCCUUGGAAGCCAAGGUGCUCGUCACAUGAGUGCACUUGUUAUUUUUGCUCCUUUCAAGGGGUUAGCUUCAUUCAGAGAGUAAGUUGUCAACAGAGAAUUAAUUAUCAAAAUUUUGGGGUAGGUUUUCAAAUGAAAGGGAGGAUUCUCUUAAAAAAGAGAUUUCUGCAAAACAAGCAAAUCAGCUUGUUCAGUCUCCAGAAUACCUUAUUUUUCAUCUGACCUCGAUGUAAUCUUUGCACUGAACUGCCAGAGUCAUUACUUAAUGCAUGCAAAAAACCAAAACCCAUUGCCGUUGAGUUGAUUCUGACUCAGGUGAUCCAGUGUGUAACAGAGUACAGCUGUUCCACAGGGGUUUCAGGGCUGUAAUCUUUGUGGAAGCAGCUUGCCAGGCCUUUCUUCCGUGGAACCACUGGGUGGGUUUGAACCGCCAACUUUGUGAUUAGCAGCCGAGCGGGGUGAGACUAAUUUUAAGUUAGAAUAUCAGUGUUUUUUCAUCAAGACUUGAGAACACUAGGUUUCAGCCUGUCUCAGGAGGGAGAGCAGAGGGGUAAAGCAUUCAGGCGGAGUUGAUUUGCAUAUAGCAAUGAUUGUUGAAAUGUCAGCUCCUAAAAGCACACCUGCUGUCUCUGGCUUUGGCCGUUGAGGAGCCCCUGAGGGAGGUGUAUGAGGGGGAUAUUCAGGGCUGUGGUAAAAAGCAAGUACAAAAAAGACACCUAGAUUCUGAGGCUUUUGGGGUCGCUUUUCAUCUGUCCCAUCCCCCCAUAUUCUACAUCCCUGGCCUCCCUUCCCCCACUGUGGGUCACUGAGGCUGUACGGGUGUCUGGUGUGGUUUCUGUGCAUGGUUAGGUGUGCUACUCUAAAGCACGGGGGAGAGUGAACUCUGGUUUGUGAACUGGGAGACCGCUGUGUAGCAGUCUUUGCAGGGGGCGGGUCCGCAGUGGCCCGGAGGGAGAAUGUCCUUGUGGGGGCAUCUUCUGCAGCUGCAGAUGGCAGCCUGUAGGAAGGAGCACUGGCUCGUGGUUGCCUCCUGGCCGUUCUAAUCCAGUUUCCGAUGCUAAGUGCGUUGGUCGGAACUUCAGGAGUUUGGUCAGAAAAGAGAGUUGUUUCUUCUGUGUAUUGAUAAAAAGAAGUUGUGUGCCAUUGACCUACUUUUGGGUGUCUACGAUGGGUAUUUGGGAGCAUUUUACAUACGUUGUGUUAUAGACCCUGGAUAAAAUGAGAAUUUCUAUCAAAAUUGUAGGAAGAGAUGGGCACGCUGUAUCAUGAACCAUGAAGACCUGUGUAUGUGGGGUGGGUAGAGAAGACAGGAAAAAUCAUUUUUAUGCUUAUUUUUCUUUGGGAAAAUUCGGAUUUGUAAUUUUAUGAAAGCUUAAUUGACAUUUUAAGAAAGCUGUUCAUGUAUUGCUUGUUAGCUGAUUGGUCUUUAUUCCCCCAAUUUAUUUCUAACCACCGUGAAACAGUUGGGAAUUUUUUUUUUGGAGGGUCCUGUUACCUCCUCAUUAGAUCACUAUCGUUCCUGGGGCUCACAGUUCAUUUCUCAUUUGCAGAAAGAAGUAUUUUUGCCUUCAUAGGUUACCCUGCCCAAGAAAAGACUCAGUCACUAUGGGUUUUGCCUUUGGUGACUUUUGAACUUGAGCAGACGUUUCUAACCUGCAAUCUGCCUUUUAGUGAGCUUCUGGGACCCUCCAAAACUGCACGUAAAUGUUUUUGUGUACGUGCAUUUUGGAGGCAGAGGGUCCUUAGCUUUCAUCGGGUUCUCCAAAGGCCCACUGACCCCAGGCCUCACCAGUCACGAGGUUGCUGAUGUCCCUGACGCCUCUCUCGGGGCAGUUUGUUUAGCUGGAGGCUGGCUCGCCACCAUUGGUAAUAAUCGGAAGUCUUAGCGGCAGCGACUGCAUUGAAAAGAUGACAAAAUAAUCACAUUUCCAAGGACAGCUUCUUAGGGACGUCAUUGACUCUGCACUGUCAUUCAAGGCCUUUGUUUCCUGAACAGGCUCCCACUCCUAUUGCUCUCAUUCGCUUCAGCCUCAUAGAUAUCCUGCAGCCAGGGGAAGAGUUGGCCCUUAGGAAGUCAGCUUACACGUAAAAGGGUGGAGGUGUUGGUCUCCACCAGGGCACGCCUCUAGUCGUCAGAAGAUGGCUGAUGAACGUUUCUCUCACUCUGAUGUUUUUAAGCAUGGAAAAAUAUGUAUUAGUUUUGAUGGGGGCCUGGGUCAGAUUUUGACCAAUUGUUGUAGUCACUUAUUUACCUUUCCUUAAUUGUUCUCUUAAAUAAUCUCAGCUCAUAUAUUGUCUUCUGGCCAAAUACACAGAGUAGUUCCUUUACAGGAGAGGCUGUGAGUUCCAUGGGCCUUACUGGCCUGGCUUACGGUGAUAAAUAAGUCCGUCUGUGGAAUGUCAUAGGAUGAUAAUACCUGUUCCUUUUUAAAUAUGCUAUGCAUUCAUCAAGAGCAAUCUUGCCAAACAGAUUUCUUUCCCUCUUAUAUCACGCAUUCAGGAUCAGCUAGGACACUUACUUUAUAGAAAGAACUAGAAGGAGACGCCUUCCGGUUUCAGGGGUGGGGAGCGAACAUUAUAGGUCCCUUGGUGGGGAGAGGGAUGGGGACAGAUCUGUGUGUGCGGCACCGGUCGCUGGGGCAGAGGCCGGGGGCAUUCAGCUUGAGGGGUUGCACUCCCCGUCCCCACUCACCCUCCGAGGCGAGGGCCCUGGAGAGUCGGCCCCUGAAGGAGCCUGCUUUGCCUGAGCCCGCCCCAUGCACCGUCACCGCACUGCUUCUCCCGUCUCUUUAAUUAUCGUUGCUCAGUUUCAGUUGCAAUAAUAGAGCGUGGAGGUGGUGGAAAAUUAUUUAGAAAUGUUGAAGAAGCGAAUCCCACAUCCUCUGAAACUGCUGGUGAGGUUGUCGUGCUUCGUCUUUGCGUUGACGAAAAAAAAAUUGUCGCGCAGGUUGAAGGGCAUGGAGGGGGUUUCUGUCAGCCCUUGUCAUCCAGGGUGGUGUGACGUCAGAUUCCUCUGCCUUGUGAUAUGAGGGACAUUCGCUGGCUUCUCUGGUGACUGACUGUAGCAAGGGUCAGAGUACCUUCCUCAUUCAAGUUUUUUCACGUUUUCUACCUUCUUUUUGAGCCUUUAAGAAGGUUUCUGUUUCAGAAACGUGCCUUUAUCUGGCAACAUUACGGUCUACUGUGUAGUUAAUAAUGGUAGGUAACAACGAUGGAACUAGUUUGCAAACAAACAAACAAAAAAAAAACAAACCCGUUGCUGUCGAAUCGAUUCUGACUCAUAGCGACUCUAUAGGACAGAGUGGAACUGGCACACAGGGUUUCCAAGGCUGUCACCUUUACAGAAGCAGACCGCCACGUCUUUAUCCCGCCGAGCGCCUGGUGGGUUCAAACUGCUGACCUUUCGGUUAGCAGCCAAGUGCUUAACCACUGCGCCACCAGGGCUCCUCACAAGAGCAGUUAAGGAUGUAAAAUUGGUAGGAUCUGGCUGCCAGGGUUUGGGAGGGGCACGAGAUUGAAGGGGGAUGAAGGACACAGGAUUCAAGCUCAUCCCAGGUGUCUGUUUUUGGAUGACUGCUUGGCAAGCGUCUAGAUUUGAACACGGGAGCUCAGCUGUGGACGUGCUGUUUUGAGUUCUGAGAUGCUCACAGGCCGUCCAGCUUGAGAGGUCCAUUUAGGCAGUUGGAUUUGGACCUGGAACUCAAGAGAUUACAAACACAAGAGUAGGAGUGGAGCCAUGGACCCGCUGACCCAGAAGAAGUGCAAGAAAGUCAUCUUGGGGCUUGCUGGCACUUAAGCUCUGGGCAGGGGAGGAGGCCUGAAAAGGGGACUUUGAAGGGGAACAUAAUUACUCUCCCAAGCAGCUGGACUAUGAAUGGAGCCCCAAAGACGAGGCACAGUUAAAGGGGAGAUUUUUGUUUCCAUUCUUAGUUUGGGGGUAUUUAAGACUUCACAGUCUUUUUUUAAACACUCAUUUCAAAAAUUUUUCUGAGCCAGUUUUGAGUUGAAGUAUUCAUAUGCUGUGUGUUGUGACCUUAAGUGAGGCUUGGGUUCACAUUUCCUUGUAUCUCUCUGGACUUUUGUACAUAGCAGCUGCCAGACUCCAUGUGUUUUGGCAAUCUAUUUAGCUUAAGUUACUUUCUCUUAUGUUUUCUGACUUCCUGAAAUACAAUUUCCAACAGCCCUGAUGAUUAAAGUUAAGAGAAUAUUUCAAUUUUGAGCUGUAUUCUUACAUUUUCAGUUGUCUAUAGGAAUUUCCCCUUGGGUAUUCUGUCACCAUCUAAAAUUCAGCAUGUCCAAAGGCAUUCUUUUGCCCCUCCUCAAUUUAGUGUUCCCUUCAGGCUUCCCUAAUUUUUUUUUUUUUUUACUCUUAUCACCAUUUAUUUAUCAUCCUAAUUAUUCAGACUUGAACGAAAAGUUUGAUUCCAUUCUUUCUCUCUCUAUCUAGAUGGUUUUCUGUCUAUAAUCCCAUCUGUCCAUUUAUUCAGCCUUGUCUUAUUAUCGUCUUUAUUUCAGGAUAUUUGCUUGAUGCUAGGGCUAUAAAGAAUUUAAGAAUUUAAAAAGAAGCCCUGCUUUCAAGAAGCACAUAGUGUAGGAGCGGCUGACAGUCGAACAUUUUCCAGAGUAUAACAGAUGCUGAGGUGGAGGUAUAAACAAAUUCUGUGGGAGCCAGUUUUCAGAGUGUUCCGGGUGAGAUGUACUUAUUAGGAAACCACCUAACUCCUGGGAUCAGAGGAGAUGGGGGUCUUCCUGAGUGGGGGUUACCACCAUGACUGUCUCCACAGCAGGAGUGACCACUGCCUGCUACGCACUAAAUUCAUUGCAGAACACUUCUCAUAGGUUCUCCUCUAAUCCGCACAGUAAUCCCGUGUGGUGGAAACAAACAGCAUGCCCAUUUUACAGGUGAGGAAGUGGAGACCCCAAGAGGUUCUUGUUUACAUAGGUGACGGAGCCGAUCAGGGUGGAGCUGGUGUUUGAAGCCCAGAUUUCUCAGCCUCCAGCGUCUGUGUUCUCCUCACGUCUGCCGCACCGCCUGCUGGAGCUCAUUUCCUGUUGUUUCAUGCUCCCCUCUUCAUUUUCAUUAUGUUUCUAAACUUUCAGCCUUUCUCCUACAACUGCUGGGGUACAGAGUUCCACAUCUUGGUACAGUUUGCGUAGAUUUUUGGUUAAAGCCUGUGUUGCAGGUUAUUAAACAGUUUUAUAUUCAGAGAGCCUGAUUUAAUCAGGCUCAAGAUUUGAGGAGUUUAAGGUUCAUGCAUAUUAAAACUAGUUUCUUUUCAACUCAUGGGAUGGCACAGGAUGUUUGCUUCUAGGGCCUCUUGGUAACUGGGGUUGGUGUCGUGGCAACAGUAGUUAUACAGCCUGGCCUUCGGUGAGUCCCUGGAGCCAGACUCAUUUCAAGCUGGACAACCAGAACUUCUGUGAGAAAUAGAGGUGAAGGUUAGUAUGAGCGACCGCGCCUCUUACCAAUCUGUACAGAACCUUGCCUCUCAGCGGCCAACUUACACGUGCCUUUUCAUGUCCCUCCUUAGCUCUUUCGCCUGUUGGGACAAAAUAUAAAAGGCUAUUGAAGAUGGAUCCUGCUCAAAAGGAGGAAAAGUGUGGAACAGAGUUUCAAAUUCUAAUGGAAAUGAAACUUACUAGAUCCACUGAGACUGGGGGAAGCCCACAUCUAUUGACCUGAGAUGAUUGUCAAACCUUGAACCAAAGCUAUCUCCUCAGAUCAUCUUUAAAUAAUAGUUUAGCUCAAUUAGUGAAGAACGUUUGCCUUGAGUAUUGUGUGCUUUUAAAGAAUUAUCUAUAUGAAAUCAGCUGACAACAGUAACUCUAAAGCAUAGAUGAAAAGCUUACAGGGCAGUGAGUUUAAGCUAAUGGUGGUGAAAUGAACAGGUAGAGAUGGCGAGAAUGGUGACACAAUGUGAAAAAUAUAACCGAUGUCAUUGAACUGUACAUGUAGAAAUUGUUGAAUGGGUGCCAUCGAGUUGGUUUUCACUCAUAGUGACCCUGUGUACCAUAGAACAAAACAAUGCCUGGUCCUGCACCAUCCUCACAAUUAUUGCUAUGCUUGAGGCCAUUGUUGCAGCCACCGUGUCAGUCCAUCUCGUUGAAGGUCUUCCUCAUUUUCCCGACCCUCUACUUUACCAAGCAGGAUGUCAUUCUCCAGGGACUGAUCCCUCCUGGUAACAUGUCCAAAGUACAUGAGACGGAGUCUCACCAUCCGCACUUCUGAGGAGCACUCUGGCUAUACUUCUUCCAAGACAGACUUGUUCGUUCUUCUGGCAGUCCGUGGUAUAUUCGAUGUCUUUCGCCAACAUCCUAAUUCCAGGGCGUCAGUUUGUAUUAGGAGGGUUUUCAAAAAUGAAGCCUUGAUUGACUGCUCUCAGCUCAGCGGUGGCAGUGGCUUGCUAAGGGGACUGUGAGUCUCGGGACACACGUCCAGAUAGCCCUGGAAACACCAGCAGAUUCGGAUUCUGACUCCUCUUGGUGUUCAGCUCCUGUGGGACCAGCAUUCUUUUCUCAGGACAACUGCCUGACAGUAACAUUGAGCUGGGUUGUAGCUUUGAGGUCUGGCUUGGAGGCGAUGCCCUCCUGUUUUAAGAGGAAAAAUGAGUCCAUCGUUCUAGGAAGGAGAUACUGGCAUGAAAUUAUUUGGUCAUUAUUUCCCUAGACAUCUGCCCUUUUCUCCUGCAUCACAUGAGAGACACCUCACUGUGUAGAAGCCGACGAGGUGCUGACACGCUUUCACAAAUUUGUGUUAAAGGUGAUUUUGGUUUAACGUCUACCCUGAAUCAGUGCCAAAAACCACAUUACUGAGUAGAAACUACUAUUCUUUGCCUUUUCUGAUCGUGUUGUGAUCUCUCAUUUUCUUCAACAUGUAAAUAUGUGUGUACAGAGCAUUCUACUAAGAGGAAUUUAAACGUCUUCCUUAGAAAAUUAAAACAGUGACAUCCUUAUAGUAAAAACUCAGUUGAUAGAGAAAAGCACGUAGUCAGAGUCACUUUUGAUCUUUAAAGGAGCCUUAGCAGGCUCUAAGAAGUUUGAGCGAUGUUAGUUCCCGGUGUUGUCAUAUCCCCAGGGUCAGCUGAUUUUCCACACAGAAGUAGGUCACACAUCACCCCACUUCAGCCCCUUUGAGCAUUAAUUGCCCUUGGAGACCUGCGCCUUAGAGAAAACAAGAACCUCAGAACAGUUUGGAUUUGAAAGAUGGAAAAGCUCACGUGUGUGAGGAUAUGUGAGCAAGGAUGUUACUGUAGACUACGUAAAUGUUCAUUCAUAGGAAAUGGCCCAGUGUAUGAUUGUGCAGUGAAACCUGUGAGAGCCGGAACUCCAUGGGGACUGCCUGGUUCUUCCACCUUUGACAGGGUGCAGUCUUACCACUUUUUUUUUCUCUCUCUCUCUCUAUUAGUGGAAAAUAUUUGAGUUUUCCUUCUCUGACAGGUUUUUGCCUUAUACCAGUUCUGGCUCUCGUGGGUUUUACUGUGUAUUUGUUACAGAAUAACCGGCGAGCCUUUGAGAAGAAUGAGACCUGCAUGUCCAGACAUGGAGAAUGUCCACGUGACACGGAGUAAAGGGACAGGUCCCUCAGACAGUAUCCUGGCCAUAAAACAAACUACGCACUUUUGUAAACUCACAUCAAAUGUGUGCAGAAACCCCCCCUAUAAACUUUAUGUGGAUUCAGAUUAAAUGCUGAAACCAAGCCUGAAGCAUGGACUGGGUUGGCGGGUGGGCAUGGAUCUCUCCUCUGGGUUACAGGUGCCCGGGGAAGGGACAAAAGGAAGUCCCGUGGCCUCUUUGGUUCUUGAAGAUCUGCAGAACUGGUGGUGGCUGAAUAAUGGUUAUAUCUGUGAUCAGUUUUGAUUUCAAGAAGUGACAUCAGACUGAUUCGAUGUCUGUCAUUUUUAGAAAAGAUAAAAGUAUGUGACGCUUUCUGUGUAGAAUUACUUCUGUUUGAAAAUCUGAAGGUCUGUUGUAAUGAUAUUUUUGUUUGCUUUUUAGGACAAGAAGCAUUUUUAACUAGUAAAAUGCUCUUGCAUUUCUUGUUACACCUGUAAAAAGCCUAGCUCUGUGGACAAAACCAAAAGUUCCAGAUGGGUACCUUUUGCAAUUGGAGCAGUCAAGUGUCCCAGGCAGAUGAGCAUGCAGAAGUGGUUGGUUUAACCUACCUGACUGCUUCUAACGUCUGUAACCUCGGAAAUUGGGGGUACAGUGGUGGCUGCCACACCUGACUAACCUUCAGGAUCACCUGGGUGAGUUUUUAAAAAAGCAUGUUGUCCUGGAGCCCCACUGCAGCCACACCUGAUCAGUUAGGGUGCUCCAGCACAGGGCACAGGAGUAUACAUGCCUACCUCCCUACCUGCAUCCCUGGGUGGUACAAAUGGUUUGCAUUCAACUGUUAACCUAAAGAGUGGUGGUUCGAACCCACCUAGUGGCUUCUGACCAUCUGCUUCUGUAAAGAUUACAAGCCAAGAAAAGCCUUUGGAGCAGUCUGCUCUGUAACUCAUGGGGUUGUCUCUAUGAGUUAAAACUGACCCGAUGACAACUAACAUCCACCUACCUACCUACAAAUUUGGGCCCCCAGAUGUAGAAGCCCCACCUCAGGAAUGCUCCUCUGCUUAGGGUCAGCCACACAGGUUGGCACCCGCUUUUACUGGCUUGGGUUGGUGGGGCAGAGAUGGUUCCCAUCACUUCCUGUGUUGGCUGCAUAGAACGAUGGUGCGAGGGUUUGUGUGUCCAUAAUUGAAGGAUGGGGUGGCAGAGUGUUAAGCGCAUCUCUCAGCCGUCUAAUUCAUGUGGUUCUGCUUUAGGCCAUUCAGUAUUCCUCUAGAGGAUUUUAGCUGUCAAGCAGAGGCCUUUGAAGAGGCUCAACAGAUCAAAGAAGCAAAAAAUAACCAAGCUUGGCGUUUUUUUUUUUUAACUCCUUUACUAUAGCUACCCAGUUUAUCUGCCUACCUACUUCAGCUCCCCCAAGUGUCUUUGUGUGGUUUUCUGUUGUAUUCCUUUUUAAAAGAUACCUUCCUUUUAUGUUGCUGCUGUUGCUAGGCAGCCCCUGGGCGGGUGCCAGUCUUGGAGCCCCGACCUGUGCAGCAGAGAGGAAGUGACCUAGGAAGAGCCUUUCACCUCUCCUGCUGGGACAAAGGAGGGCCCUGGAACCAGGAUGCUGAUGGCCAGGCACAGGAGAUCUGUGGAAGCCACUGAGGCUGAGUUACCAGCCAAGGAUGUCUUCCGAGAAGCUGCCAGCCUCCUCUCAGGGUUGUUGGGAUACAGUCUGAAAAUGAAGCCACUGCAAGCAGCGUGCUAGGAUUGGUUAUAAUUGUGUAUGUGCUUUCUACUUUGGCACCUGUACAAACUUGUAGAAAAUUAGCAAGCAUAUGCAAAAGUAGAGAGAAGAGUAUAAUGAAUCCUGUGUGCUCAUUAUCAUUAACAUUUUGGUGGAAUUACCUUUCAGUCUUUCUCUAUUCAUGCAUGUUCACCGUAUUCAUACAUGUUCACCUGCCUCAUGUCCUUUCUGAAAAAUGUACUAGAGUUUAGAAAAAGAAAAAAAAAAAACUUAAAAAAUAGUUGGGGUCAUUCUGUAGAAUGUUUUAUAGCUUGUUUUUUUUUUUUUAUUAAACAUACCUGUUUUCUUUGUUUUUACAGUUUUUAGUGAACAUCAACCUCAGAGAGGAUAAACAAAGGAUAGUCAGGACUAAAAAAGAGAUGACUAGGAAGCAAGGAGAUUGGCUUGCCAUAGCUUCACAGGUGCCCAAUGAUUGGCUUGCCAUAGCUCCAUAGCUGCCCAGUGAUUGGCUUGCCAUAGCUCCAUAGCUGCCCAGUGAUUGGCUUGUCAUAGCUCCAUAGCUGCCCAACAGUUGGCUUGCCAUAGCUCCAUAGCUGCCCCACAGUUGGCUUGCCAUAGCUCCGUAGCUGCCCAGUGAUUGGCUUGUCAUAGGUCCAUAGCUGCCCAGUGAUUGGCUUGCCAUAGCUCCAUAGCUGCCCAACAGUUGGCUUGCCAUAGCUCCACAGGUGCCCAAGGAUUGUCUUGCCAUAGCUCCAUAGCUGCCCAACAGUUGGCUUGCCAUAGCUCCAUAGCUGCCCAGUGAUUGGCUUGUCAUAGCUCCAUAGCUGCCCAGUGAUUGGCUUGCCAUAGCUCCAUAGCUGCCCAGUGAUUGGCUUGCCAUAGCUCCAUAGCUGCCCAGUGAUUGGCUUGUCAUAGCUCCAUAGCUGCCCAGUGAUUGGCUUGCCAUAGCUCCAUAGCUGCCCAGUGAUUGGCUUGCCAUAGCUCCAUAGCUGCCCAGUGAUUGGCUUGUCAUAGCUCCAUAGCUGCCCAGUGAUUGGCUUCCCAUAGCUCCAUAGCUGCCCAACAGUUGGCUUGCCAUAGCUCCACAGGUGCCCAAGGAUUGGCUUGUCAUAGCUCCAUAGCUGCCCAGUGAUUGGCUUGUCAUAGGUCCACAGCUGCCCAGUGAUUGGCUUGCCAUAGCUCCAUAGCUGCCCAACAGUUGGCUUGCCAUAGCUCCGCAGGUGCUCAAGGAUUAGCUUGCCAUAGCUCCACAGGUGCCCAAGGAUUGGCUUGCCAUAGCUCCCCAGGUUCUCAAGGAUUAGCUUGCCAUAGCUCCCCAGGUGCUCAAGGAUUAGCUUGCAAUAGCUCCACAGGUGCCCAAGGAUUGGCUUGCCCUACCUCCACGGGUGCCCAACGACUGGCUUGCCGUAGCUCCGUGUAGAUCACCAGACCCCGCAGAUCAGAGCGGGAGAAUUAUUCCACAUAGCAGAGGAAACAACAGGAAUGGUAAUGCUGCCCUCCCUGUCCUCAGGUCUCACAGGGUGAUGUGACAGGCCCAGAGGGUGGCUACGCAUAAGUUGAGUUGGUCUACACAGCUGAGGAACCAAGGACAAGGGCUUAGCACCUUUUUAGCAAGCAGCAAACAAGCCAGUCCCCCUACCCAGGAGUGAGGGAGUGAGCAGUAUGCAGGCCAUGCUGGGUCUCCUUGACCAACUCAGCGUGACCAGCUGCAGAGAGACAGUUUGGUCUCAGCUUGGCACACUCAGCAAGGACUUCAGGGCUGCUAAGAGCCCACGGUGAAUGGCCUUUGCCACACACAGCAGAAUAUGGAUGCACCAUAAUUUAAUUAGUCAUCCUCUUUUGUUGGCUGUUCAGAAGUUUCUACUUUGUUCCUCUAACAAAUAGCCCUGAGCAUUGCUGUACCUAAAACUUUACCUGCAUUUCUGAUCAUUUUCUUAGGCUGGAUUCCUGUCUGUGGAGUCACUGGGCCAGUGGGUUUAACUUUUUUAAGUCUCUUGAUAUGUAAUGUCAGAUGGCCUUCCAGAAAGUUCUGUCCAUUUACAUUUUACACCAGUAUGUGAAGAUACUUGUUACCUUACCCUUCCCAAUGCUGAGUUGUGUUUUAAUCAUUUGGCUUCUUGGUAUACUUUCUAAAUAUUAUUUUGUCUUUCUAAUCUGUUGGUGGGGUGAGAUUUGACUGUCCUAAGAAUCUUACCUAGUGUCUACAUAAGUCAAAAUGGGAAGUUAUACGCUAGCAUGCGGCCAUCUAAGAUGCAUCAAUUGGUCUCAACCCACCUGGAGGAAAGGCAAAUGAAGAACACCAAAGAUACAAGGUAAUUGUGAGCCCAAGAGACAGAAAGGGCCACAUAAACCAGAGACUGCAUCAGCCUGGGACCAGAAGAACUAGGUGGUACCUGGCUACAACUGAUGGCUGCCCUGAUAGGGAACACAACAGAGAACCCCUGAGGGAGCAGGAGACCAGUGGGACGCAGACCUCAAAUUCUUGUAAAAAGACCAGACUUAAUGGUCUGACUGAGACUAGAAGGACCCUGGAGGUCAUGGUCCCCAGACCUUCUCUUCGCCCAAGACAGGAACCGUUUCCCAAAGCCAACUCUUCAGACAGGGAUUGGACUGGACUAUGGGAUAGAAAAUGACACUGCUGAGGAAUGAGCUUCUUGGAUCAAGUAGACACAUGAGACUAUGUGGGCAGCUUCUGUCUGGGUGGGAGAUGAGAGGGCAGAGGGAGUCAGAAGCUGGCUGAAUGGACACGAAAAUAGAGAGUGGAAAGAAGGAGCGUGGUGUCUCAGAGGGAGAGCAACUAGGAGUAUAUAAAAAAAUUUUUUUGUAUGAGAGACUGACUUGAUUUGUAAACUUUCACUUAAAUCACAAUAAAAAUUAAAAAAAAUGGGAAGUUACAGCAGUUUCUUUUCCAGGUCAUUUUUUUUUUUUUUUCCAUUUAUCCCACAGAUGUUUAUUGAACACCUCUUAUAGCUAGGCACCAUACAGGCCUUGAGAUUUAUUGGUGAACGGAGUCGUCAGGGAGCAACCAAAAAAGGGAGCUGGUUUCUCUGGAUAGUGACUGUUCCAUCCAGUUUUAUGCAUCUACAGGUUCAGAUGAGGGGUUCUUAAGAGUUCAGGUCAUGGGGAAGACUCACCUGCCUUUCCACUUUUGGGUGAUCUUAGUCUUACGUUUGUUUAUUGAACAUAGCCCAGUGGUCGAACUUCUGGUUCCUAACUUCUCAGCAUCUCCGUGUCCCCCUGUGACUGGCAAGGCCUAAAAUAUGCUAAAGAGUUUGAAAGCAAUUCCAUGCAAACUACAAUUUACUUCUGAAUAGGUACGUUUUUAAAUUAUUUUGUUUGAAUAUGGAAGACAGUGCUGUUUAGGGGCACCCAGGUUGAAAGCAGCGCAGGCUUUGCUUGCGAACUUUGCCUUUAUUAUUCUUAUGGAUUGAAUUGUGUUCCCCCAAAAGAUACGUUGAAGUCCUAACCCCUGUACCAGUGAGUGUGAUUUUGGGGAAACAGGGUUUUUCUUUGCAUAUAUCAGUUAAAUUAACCGAAGUCAUAUUGGAGCAGGGUGGGUUUUUUAAAAGAAAAGGACAGACAGACUCACACAAGAGGAAGACAGAUUCACAUGACAACAGAGGCAGAAGCAUCUAUAAGCAGCAAAAAUACACCAAGGAUUGCGAGCGGCCAUGAGAACGAGGAGAGAGGCAUGGAUCAGUUCCUCUCUCAGAGCCCUGGGAGGAAUCAACAGGGCCAAGAGCCUGGUUUGGGCUCCCAGCCUCCAGCACUGUGAGCCGACACAUUUCUGUUCUUUAAAGCCACCCACUCUGUGGCAUUGUGUUACGGCAGCCUUGGGAAACUGAGACACUUUCCAAAGUGCACUGUUAAGAUUUUUCAUCAGUAAGCCUUAAUUCCUACUCUGGCCUCUAACAUUUACCAUUUUAUGCCUGGGCAAAUGAUCUGUUUUCUCUAGGGACAUUUUCUUCUGUAGCACUGGGGUGAUGACGCAGUCAUACCUGCCUCAGGGGAUCACAGGAAGGACUGGGGAGGUGGGCCAUCUGCAGCCAUCUCAGGUGCCAGUGCUGACAGCCAGGCAGUGCCUGAUGACGGUUAGCAAUGACUGUCAUCACUUACCAGGAGGCACUUCUCAGGGACUUCAGAUGUGCAGUCCACCAUCUGGUCUCAACAGCAGACUGAAGAUACCAGCAGUGACACAUGAAACAUCUUUAAUUAGGGUGACCAGCACACCAAUUUCCAUCUAUUUGUCUGCUACAAACUUUUCAGUUUCCCCCUUGUAAUUUUUUUUAUUUGAUUUUAUUGAAAUAUAAUUUGCAUAAGUAAACUCUAUCCAUGUAAACUGUACAGUUUGAUGAGAUAUUAUUUGACAGAACAUACACCCAUGAAACCCCCACCACAGUCAGGCUACAGAACAUUUCCUUCACCCAAAGGCAGAACCUGUCUUGUACUAAAUAAAACAUUGCACGUUCUACAGGACUACCUUUGUAUUUAAUUAGACAUUUUCAAUAUAAAAUUCAAUCUGCACAGUCACUCUGUGACGUUACUUACCUUUACUUGGUCAGGGUUACAAGUUAAUUUAUGAGCUUUUGCAUAGUUCUCAGUCCUCUCCUUAACCCAUCACAAUACUGUUUAUCAUUGUAGCCUGGGAAUCGGUUAAUUGAUAGUAGAGAUUUUCCUCCAAUUUGGUACUUUUUAAAAGUAAUUUCUAUGAAAAUGUCUAUGAAAUGCAUGUACAUGGGCGAGAGCAAUAAAUAAAAUUUCUUUCUGUCUCUCUCAAGCUCUGAACCUACUAGAAAUAAAGGAAACCGAAAGUGGAGAUCAAAUGGUCAGCUUUGUAAUUCAUAAGGAGAGGCAGAUGGAGGAGUCCCCCUAACUUCAAGCAUAUGGAACUCUACUGCCGCCAUGUUAGCGGAGCACCACCUUCCUGUCCUGCCGUGGGUAUCACUGUGUUGAGCAGACCUCGUUCUCUCCCUUCUGGACACUGGAAGGCCAUGCUUCUCAGCUCUCUUUUCAGACACUCAGAGAACAGACAGAAAUAACCAGGGACUGAAGAUUCUGGACUGUCGUAGGAGCACUUUGCCUUUCUUUGGGCAAUGGUAGCUUCUACAGUUUAGGAACUGCUUCUAAACCUGGUAGGAAUAUUUUUGAAAUUGGAAGGGAAUUUUAGGGAAAGUAAAUCAUCUGAAAAUGGUUUAAAUAAAAGCUUGGAGAAAUUCUUGAAGAAAUUUCCUUCCAAAAAUAGAUUGUUAGUUUUUUGUUUUUUUUUUUUAAAUCCAAACCACUUGUCUUCAAAGCAAGGCAAUUAGGUUUUAGAUACAACAAUGGUUUCUGCUUAGCUUGUUUCAACAUCAAUAACAGGUAUCAAGGAGCUUGGGCUGGCUGACUUCCUUGGUCCUGUUGUCUGACGUCCUGGUGCUGCUCUGUGACAAAGGUGGGCACGACUGCCUUCCUCCUCUGUCGCUUGUGCAGGGUUUCCUCUCCGGGGCAGUGGCCCAUCUCCACUGGCUCAGUUUGCUGUCUGUCUUCUGAGUAAGAGGAUGGGUGGAGUGCACGGAUUUGGUAAUGCUGGGCUUGUGGUUUUGCAAAGAAAGGGGGAGAUAUGUGAUUAGUAAGGCAGAGGGGACUGAGGGAAACAGGAAGGGAUAUGCACUCUCAUGGGCAGAGUCCAUGCCCAAAGCAGAAAGAAGUAAAGAAGGCAGCCAGCAAGUAAGCCAGCUCCUACGCUGCCUCCCUCCCCAGAUCUAAGUUACUCUUACUGGAGUUGUCAGAUCGCUUUGCUUUCGUAAAUGUGCUGGAACUUCACCUCCUGAUGAUCACCUCUUUACAUAUUUCUUCAGGCAGGAUUUUUUCCUAAAAAUUACUACUUAAGUUUAGAAAUUGUACAGAAAAUCCAGUGAAUUAAUUUAAUCAUUCCCCAUUCUCUGGACAUCAACCUUGUCUGCCUAAGUAGUAAAAGUACCAGAAAGUCCGUGUGUGGAAAUACCCACUGAAUGUGCCGUGAAGUGGCUGGGCCCUGUUGUGCAUUGCUUGUGUCCAGUGUAACAGUGAGCUUUCCUGAUAGCCUGGUCAUCCUCGGCCUCCUACCAUAACCAUCAGGCUCAUUUGCUCUUUAAACACAUUUCUUUUGUCCCAGGACUGUGUUGAAACCAUCCAUGCCCUAUGUCAUGGGCUGAUGGUAUACUUAUGCCCAGCCGACAGGGCACCUAACAUGAGUACUCUACGGUUCCCUGGAAGAUAUGAAGCUAGCGCUGCAGACCUUUUCCAUCUUUGAGAAUGGGAAUCUUAGUUCUGGAAUCAUAAUGUGUUUAGAGGUAAAAUAUAUCAUAAAUCUGGUUCAGCACCUUCAGUUUGUUUCCUACGGGCGGCGCGUGGUAGGUGGUGCUCUGGGAAGCAAGCCUCGGAGGAGGCUCUUGAGCGUGACUUUGAGGAAUAGGUAGGAUUCAGAUAGAAAAAUAGGAAGAGUUUAAAAUAUACUUUUAUCCAAGUAAUACACGUACAUCAUUUAAAAGAUUAUAUAUCACGCACAGAUCUACCCAAGUGUUCAUAUAUCCAUAAUAGCUGAAAGGUAGAAACAGCCCACAUGUCUGUCAGUGGGGGAAUGAAUAAACAAAACGUGGCAUAUCCAUACCAUUGGAUAUUAUGCAGCCGUAAAAAGUAAUGAAGUACUGGUGCGUGAUACAACAUGUAUGAACCUUGGAAACAUUAUACUAAAUACAAUACUUUAUGUUGUGUGUAGACACACCAGUGGAGACCAGAGUAGAUCAGUGGUGGCCGGGGACUCAGGGACUAGGGGAAUGAGGAGUGACUGCUAGUGGGUGAGAGGUUUUUUUGAGAGCGAUAAAAAUGUUCUAGAAUUAGGAAGUGGUGGUGAUUAUAUAACCUUGUGAAUAUUCUAAAAAACCACUGAAUUGUAUACUUUUAUGGGCCUGUCUGUGGUUUGGCUGAAAGGUGGUCUCUGGGGAUGGCUUCAGUUCCAGUUGAGAAAGAUGUCUUACGGCCACAGUCUCGUGGGUUCCUUCAGUCUUGGUCUGACCAGUAAGUCUGGUCUUUUUUGUGAUUUUGAUUUUUGUUCUACGUUUUUUUCCUGCUCUGUCCAGGACCCUCCAUUGUGAUCCCAGUCAGAGCAGUCUCCUACUAUUUCUUGAUUGUCAAUUUCAGACAUUAUCUGUCAACUCUCUGCCACAACUAUGCCAAAAUUGCUCUCUGCUGAGCCACAUAGUGUUCUACAACCACAUGGCCUUUCUUGUACAACUUUUUUUUUCCUAGAGCUAUUGAUUGACUCAAUUCAUUAUUUGCCUGGUUUUCUUUGAAAUGUAUCCUUUGUUUUUCAAAUUCUGUAUCUCUGUCCCAUGCUUAGCUAUAAGUAUUUUAAGACAUCAGCUCUGUUUUCCCCCUUGGACAGUGCCCAUUAUUUUUAUGCUUAAAUCUUGAUUAGCUGCUCUCCAGGUUGGCUGAGGGGCCUUUGAGUUUGACUUCCUCUUCAAAGCUCUACUUGCUGGGAUUGUACUCCGUCACUCCCUUCUGUUGGAUCAGCCUUUUCUGGGUCCCAUGUUGUCUUGGUUAUCUAGUGCUGCUAUAACAGAGAUACCACAAGUGGGUGGCUUUAACAAAGAGAAAUUUAUUCUCUCACAGUCUAAUAGGUUACAAGUCCAAAUUCAUGGUGUCGGCUCCAGGGGAAGGCCUUCUCCCUUUGUCAGCUUUGGAGGAAGGUCCUCGUCCUCAAUCUCCCCCUGGUCAAGGAGCUUCUCAGGUGCAGGGACCCCCUGUCCAAAGGAUGCGCUCUGCUCCUCGCGCUGCUUUCUUGGUGGUAUGAGGUCCCCAACUCUCUGCUUGCUUCCCUUUCCUUUUAUCUUAUAAAAGUGGUGCAGGCCACACCCCAGGGAAACUCCCUUUACAUUGGAUCAGGGAAGUGACCUGAGGAAUAGUGGUGUUACAAUCCCACCCUAAUCCUCUUAACAUAAAAUUACAAUCACAAAAUGGAGGACAAUGACAGAAUACCAGGAAGCAUGGCCUAACCAAGUUGAUACACACAUUUUUGGGGUCAUAAUUCAAUCCAUGACAUGUGUCUUUCCUUUUUUGGUUUACUUAAAGUUUGCAGAAGUACAUUCUCUGGAAGUUUCCUAGGAAAGGGUAUGUGGGAGGUCUGUGUUUUUGUGUUUGAAAAUGUCUUAGUCUAGCCUCACAUUUUUUUUGGAUCUGGUAUAAAAUUCUGGGUUGAAAAAAGUCUUCUUCUAAUUUUAAAGGCUUUUUUUUUUUUUUUUUUGCUCAACCUCAUGUUAAUGAGAUUUAGCCAUGUUUUUUCGGGUAGCUGUAGUUCGUUCUUUGAAUAUACCACAAUUUUUUAAAAAUUUGAAUAUACCACAAUUAAAAAAAAAAAAAAUCUGCCCUAACUGGUGAGGGUUUUGUUGUGCAUAUUUUCACCACAAUUUAAAAAAAGAUCUGCCCUACUUUUGAUGGACAUUUAGGUGGUUUCCAGGUUGCGGCCGUUGCUAAGAAUGCUGCUGUGAACAUUCACGUUCGUACUUCCAGGUAUUCACGUGAAGGAUCUACACCCAGCAGCGUUUAAGGAAAAGUGGGACCUUUCCCCACUGAGCUGUGUUGCCAGCCCUGCCGUAUGUCAGGUGUUUAUAUCUGCGUGGGUUGUCCCUGGGCUCUGGUGUCCUGUUCUGUUGGUCUGUCCCAUGCCAGUACCACGCUAUUUAAUAAUUCCUGGAACAAACGGCAAAACCUGCUGGGGUUGUGGUUUGCAGUGGCAUUAAAACUUAGGUCAUCUGGGAGAAAAUGGACAUCUUCAGUGUAAGGAGUCCUCCCACCCAUGGGUGCAGCUUCUCCAUUUAUGUAGGCCUGCUUUAAUGUCUUUGAAUAAAAUUUGAGAAUUUUUGCCAUAAAAGUCCUGCACACUCUUGACUGAUUUAUUUCUAAGGAUGUUAAUUACUGUUGGUUGCUAAUAUAUUGAAAUGCAUUUGCAUUUUAUGUAUUGAUUAAAUUCCGCUAAUGAGUCUAACAGUUUAUCUUUAGGUUCUUUUACCAACUGUGAAUCAUCGUGGUUUCAUUUUUCCUUCUUUCCAGUCCUUAUGCCUUUUUUCUUGCCUUACUUAAUAGGACUUAGUUCUCUCAGGGAUAUUACUUAGUCUCAGAGUAUCUCCUCACAAGAUACUUAUUAUAAAGGGAAACAUAGUAACUUUACAGUGAAGGAACAUUGUAGACACAGCUUUACCAGGUGCUCAAGGUUAAUAUCACUGGUAGUAAGAUUCAUCAACACCACACGCCCCUGACCAUGCACUGAGAAGGGCACCACAUUGUGUCUUCUGCUGUUCAUGCCAAAAACACAUAACCUUAGCCCCUCAGAAAAGCCCGCGUUAAGGACAUUCCGCAAAAUAACUGGCCAGUACUAUGCAAAUAUCCUCCACUUCUCCCAUGCUAAUUUUUUAGCACGUUCAUUCUUGAGGUUAGCACCUGUGUCUUUUCAGCACCUUCCUGUCACUCUUCGAGCACUUCCUUACUUUCUAGCACCAAAAAAGUGUCCAGUUCAUGUGAUACAAGGAAAGACUGAGAAACUGUCACAGAUUACAAGUGACUAAGGAUAUAUGGAAGGAGCCCUGGCAGUGCAGUGGCUAAAGUGCUCAGAGGCGGGCCGAAAGGUCGGCAGUUUGAACCCACCAGCCACUCCAUGGGAGAAAGAUGGGGCAGUCUGCUUCCGUAAAGAUUACAGCCUUGGAAGCCCUAACCCUUUCUUGACAACUGUCACAUUUAAGUCCCAGCUACGUUUUUUGCCUGUCUGGUUUGUUGGGAUGCUGGUGUCCUGUUUGUGGUAUGUGUCAUCUGGCAGGGGCAUGUGUGAGUGGAUAAAAGGGAAGAGACGGUCAUUGGCGCCAGAUCACCGGGUGGAGGUUAUUGUAUGAGGUGAUGCCCCCGGAGGUGCGAUUGUGUAAACUUUUUGUCUCUUUUGGCUUUGGUACAGCGAGAUAAGCCCUGUGGGUAUAUGCACAGGUUCCUAUGUGAUAUUUGCAAGUUGCAGUUUUCAUGACGAUUUCAUUUUCAAGUGAGUGAAUACCUUCUUUUCAGGUGUACUACAUUACAAGCGCGUGUUGUAGUGUCCUGGACCUACUGUGUGAGUAUUCCCUGCAGUUGUCAAGGACUCCUGGUUUAUGAGCUGGCAGUAGUUCAUUUGCAGUGAAAAUGAAUUCAUUGUAGUAGUGCUUUUCCCAGGACACCAGUUCUUUUGGUGCUUUUAUUUUUAUAAACCCGUUGCCAUCGAGUGAAUUCUGACUAUAGCAACCCUAUAGGACAGCAGAGAACUAGCCCCAUAGGGUUUCCAAGGAGUGCCUAGUGGAUUUGAACUGCCGACCUUUUGGUUAGCAGCUGUAGUUCUUAACCACUAUGCCACCAGGGUUUCCUUUUAUUGUUAUGGGAGGCUGGAAUUGGGCAGUGUCUCCUCUUGUGUACUCUCAUGUUGGUUUGGAGGUAUGGUAUUGGUAUUAUCCUAGUUUUGCUGAACUUGGAAUUACUAUUUUCUGAAAAUUCCUCUUUUUCAGAAAUAGGCUCUUUGAAGGACAAAGAAAAUCUAGAUUGUUUCUUUUCUCUACCUGAGGAUGAGGAUGGUUCUGAGGAGGCGUGUGGCGAAGAUACCUCAGAGGAAUUUACCUGUCUCAUGGAGUCUGAAGCUCAGUUUGAUGGGAACAACAACGACACAACACGGACAUGAAAUUGGAGGAUGAUGAAGCACUGACGUGGCGGAAGAAAGGGGUGAACCCUGUGAUGAUGCCUGUGGUGAGAGCGAAGAAAAUGAAGUGAAUGGUGCAAAGAUGUCUCCUACUUUGAAAACAUAACAGACUCGCUUCAGCAAUAUGCCAACUGACUUGACCCACGAAGAUACAGAAGUAGAUUUUUUUUGGUCUGUGUUUAUAGAAGAGAUAUUGAAAAUUAUAAAGGGCCAAAUGAAUCUUUAUGCGACUCAGAAGCUCACAAGACUGCAUAGAGGGCAGGAGAUUAGAAUGCCAAGUAAAAGCUGGCAGCCUACAACCACACAGGAAAUAAAGACAUUCACUGCUGGGUGUACACUGAUAUGUGUACACGUCCUCCCCGAGCUCAGACAUUAUUGGUGCAGCGACCCCCUCUUGGGUGUUACUUUGGCGGCAGACCUUAUGACCAAAACCAGACUGAAGAAACUGACAGAGAGCAUACACUGCAGUGACAUUUCAAAAGCCAUGCACAGAGGAGACCCGGGCUACGAACGACUUCACAAAUGGCGCCCAAUCAUCAGUGAUCUCGAUAGUCGCCUAAGGGAGGUGUACGUGCCAUAAAGUGUUGUGGCAGUUGAUGAAAGCAUGGUGCCACUGAAGGGCGAUUCAUCAAUAAAAUAGGACAUGCCAAUGAAGCCCGUCCGGCACGGGUACAAAGUUAGGUGCUUGGCUGUACUCACUAACUGAUUUGCAAGUCACUUUGAUAUGACCGGAAACCCAGAUGGCGUAGUGGUUAAGUGCUACAGCUGCUAACCAAAAGGUCGGCAGUUUGAAUCUACCAGGUGCUCCUUGGAAACUCUAUGGGGCAGUUCAACUCUGUGCUAUAGGGUCGCUAUGAGUCGGAAUUGACUCGAUGGCAACAGGUUUGAUUUGGUUUUGAUAUGACCAUGACGUAUCUCUCUCCCUUGGUGAGAGUGUUGUACUUGGUCUGUGUCAUUCAUGCAACCAUCCUCAUAGGCUCAUUGCCUUCGAUAAUUUAUUUUCCUUCUAUCUCUUGAUGAAAGUCAUGAACGAAAGGGGACUGUAUGCUGUAGGCAUAGUGUGAACAAAUAGAAAGGGGCUACUGGAUAACACUGCGAAGAACAGGAGUUCCAGAACACAUAAUUGUGCUCAUGUGGAACCUGUACAUAGACCAAGAGGCAGUCGUUCGAACAGAACAAGGGGAUGCUGCGUGGUUUAAAAACAGGAAAGGGUGGUUUAAAAACAGGAAAGGCGUGUGUCAGGUUGUGUCCUUUAAAUUCUUAUUCAAUCUGUAUGCUGAGCAGAUAAAUCCAGAGUUGUGUCCUUUAAUCAUUCUUAUUCAAUCUGUAUGCUGAGCAGAUAAAUCCGAGAAGCUGGACUAUACAAAGAAGAAUGAAGCAUUAAGACUGAAAGAAGACUCAUUAAAAACCUGUGAUAUGCAGGUGACACAUCCUUGCUUGCUGAAAGUGAAGAGAACUUAAAGCACUUAUUGAUGAAGAUCAAAGACUACAGCCUUCAGUAUGAAUUAUACCUCAACUUAAAGACAACAGAAAUCCUCACCACUGGACCAAUAAGCAAUAUCGGGAUAAACAAGAGAAAAGAUUGAGGUUAUCAAGGAUUUCAUUUUCCUUGGAUCCACAGUCAACACCCAUGGAGGCAGCAGUCAAGAAAUCAAAAGGCUCAUUGCAUUGGUCAAAUCUGUCUUUAAAGUGUUGAAAAGCAAAGAUGUCACUUUGAGAACUAUCACGAAUUAUGUCCCCCAAAAAAUAUGUGUAUCAAUUUGCCUGGGCCGUGAUUCCUGGUAUUGUGUGAUUUUCCUAUAUGUUGUAAAUCCUGCCUCCAUGAUAUUAAUGAGGGAGGCUGAGCAGCAGUUGUGUUAGUGAGACAGGACUCAGUCUACAAGACUGGAUUGUGUCUUGAGGCAAUCUCUUGAGAUAUAAAAGAAAGAAGCGAGCAGAGAGACAGGUGGACCUCAUACCACCAAGAAAGUAGCAUUAGGAGCAGAGCGCAUCCUUUAGACCUGAGGUCCCUGCGCCUGAGAAGCUCCUUGACCUGGGGAAGGUUGAUGACAAAGAAUCUUCCUCUGACAGAGCCGACAGAGAAAGGUUCCUUGGAGCUGACACCCUGAAUUUGGACUUGUAACCUACCACUUGUGAUAUUUCUGUUAUAGCAGCACUAGAUGACUAAGAUAAGGACUAAGGUGCACCAGACCCAGGCCAUGGUGUUUUCAAUCACCUCAUAUGCCUGGGAAAGCUGAACGAUGAAUAAGGAAAACCAAAGAAGAAUUGACACUUGAAUUAUGGUGUUGGCAAAGAAUAUUGAAUAUAUCAAUGACUGCCAAAAGAAUGAACAAAUCUAUCUUGUAAGAAGUGCAGCUAGAAUGCUCCUUAGAAGCAAGGGUGGCAAGACUUUGUCUCACAUACUUUGGACAUGUUAUCAGAAGGGACCAGUCCCUGGAGUAGGACCUCAUGCUUGGUAAAGCAGAGGGUCGGAGAAAAAGAGGAAGACCCUCAAUGAAAUGGAUUGACACCAUGGCUGCAACAAUGGGCUCAAGCGUUACAACAACUGCGAGGAUGGUGCAGGACUGUGAAGUGUUUCAUUCUGUUGUACAUAGGGUUGCUAUGAGUCAGAACUGAUUUGAUGGCACCUAAUAAAGCUAAGAGUCGCAAUCAACUGGACAGCAAUGGGUUUAACAAGCUAACAGCAACUGGGAAAGAGAAGAGGAAAGAUAAAUUACAGCAGGGAGAAUUUCUGUUUCUGUAUGUGUGUCAGAAACCCUGGUGGCGUAGUGGUUAAGUGCUACGGGUGCUAACCAAGAGGUCAGCAGUUCAAAUCCGCCAGGCGCUCCUUGGAAACUAUGGUGCGGUUCUACUCUGUCCUAUAUUGUCUCUAUGAGUUGGAAUUGUCUCUAUGAGUUGGAAUUGACUCUACAGCAGUGGGUUGGGUUUGGUUUUUUGAGUAUGUGUGUCGGCAGUAAAGUUGCAGCAUGACAAACCUGUGACAGUUUUGCCCACAUUCCAUAAUCCAAAGGACAUCACUACUGUCAACAAAAAGAACAAAGACAGUACCUCCUCAGCAAUCCCUUGCGUAACAGCAAUUACACAAUAUAGUACAAUUAUGGGCGGAGUUGUAUCCCUUUGACCAGAGGCACGAAAGGUAUGCAAUUGGAAGGUGUCUCUCAAAUGGUGGCAUUGAAUGCUGUGUGUCCUUAUUGACCUUGGCAUUGUAAGUAGUUUUACAGUGUGGAACUGUAACAACAGGGGCAGCUGUGACCAACUGUCCUUCAGGCUUGUUCUCAUUAGGCAGCUUACUCUGUGCCAGGAAAUCAAAGGAAGAGGGAGACGCUCUUGUUCCUGUGAGGAACAAGCCAGGAGCCCAUUGGGUGUCAAGUGACGUCUGGCUCUGCCAGGUUGGCAAGUAUUUGCCUCUGAAGGGAUGGAUCUAGAAGGCAAUGCAGAGAAUGAAGCGCUAAGAAGGAGACUCAAAUCACAAUUAUGUGCAGGCACUGCAGGUGCCUUUGUGUGUUAGCCCGUGUUUUCAAAAGUUUCACCCAGUAAAAUAAAGUUGCUAAGAUAACUUGAAUUUUUCCAUGCCACAUCCCACCUAUCCUACCACCAAAGUCCAGUGGGACAUGUGUGUCCCACACAAUAUUUAUCAAAAUCCAUCUUGCCUGACAAAAAUUUAAAAACACUCAAUGAUUUAGUGUGUAUUCCACUACUGAAAAAACAUGAUAUCAUCAAAAACUUACUAACAAAAAAUAACUUGGUCACGAAAGGGCUCUGAGCAGUUCUGCUCAGCUCUGCAGGACUGCUGUGAGUCGGAGUCAGCUUGACAGCAGUGAGUAACUGCUCUUGAACUCAUUCUCUCCUUUCUCCUACUGCUCUGGCCUUCGUCUGGGCCCCCCUCAUCUCAUCAGGAGACAUGACAGCUAAGCACAGUGGGGUCUUCUGGGUUGAGUCCUGGACCAGAAAAAGAACAUGAGUGUGAACUCUAGAUAAGUUAUUAGUGUUUGUGAGCAUUCAUUUCCUGGUUUCAGUGAUUGCACUGUGGUUAUAUAAGAUGUUAUCAUUAAGGGAAGUUGGGUGAAGGGUAUAUGGAACUCUGUUUUUGCAACUUCCAUGUAAGUCCAAAAAUAUUCACAAUAAAAAGUUAAAACACAUGCUCGUGUCAUUUGACUCAGUAAUUCAGCUUUCCUGCCUCUUGCCUUCAUACAGACGCGUUUCCACGUGGACAGAAAGAUGCACGCAGAAGAGUACUCCCUGUAGCAGAGCUUGAGGAGGCAAAAUACUGGACACAACUUAAAUGUUCAUAAGUAGGAAAUCUAGAGUAUAGCACGACCUUUACUGUGGAAUGUACCAAUUAAAAAAAAAAUUGGUGUAGAUCUACAUUCCCGGACAUAGCCAACCUCUUGUUGUUUUUAGAUGCCAUUGAGUCAGGCCUGACUCCUGGUGACCCUGUGUACAACAGAACAAAACACUGCCUGGUCCUGUACCAUCCUCACAAUCAUUGCUAUGUUUGAGCCCAUUGUUGCAGCCACUGUGUCAGUCCAUCUUGUUGAGGGUCUUCCUCCCUUUCUCUGACUGUCUACCUUAUCAAUCAUGAUAUCCUUCUCCAGGGACUGGUCCCUACUGAUAGCAUGUCCAAAGUACAAGAGACAAAGUCUUGCCAUCCUUGCUUCCAAGGAGCACUCUGGCUGUACUUCUUCUAAGAUUUGUUCGUUCUUCUGGCAGCCCACAGUAUAUUCAGCAUUCUUCGCCAACACUGCAAUUCAAAGGCAUCAAUUCUUUGGUCUUCGUUAUUCAUUGUCCAGCUUUCACAUGCAUAUGAAGUGAUGGAAAAUACCAUGGCUUGGGUCAGGUGCACCUUAGUCCUCGAGGUGACAUGGCAUCUUUGCUUUUCAGUGCUUCAAAGAGGCCUUUUGCAGCAAAUUUGCCCAGUGCAAUACAUCGUUUGAUUUCUUGAGUACUACUUUUUUUUUUUUACUUCUGUGGGUAUUGAUUGUGAAUCUAAGUAAAAUGAAAUCCUUGACGUCAGUCACCUCUCCAUUUAUCAUGAUGUUGCUUAUUGGUCCAGUUGUGAUCAUUUUUGUUUUCUUCAUGUUGAAGUAUAAUCCAUACUGAAGGUUCUAGUCUUUGUUCUUCAUCAGUAGGUGCUUCGAGUCCUCUUCACUUUCAGCAAGCAAGGUUAUAUCAUCUGCAUACUUCAGGUUUGUUUGUUUUAAAUAAUUUUUAUUAUGCUUUAAGUGAAAGUUUACAGAUCAUACUUCAGGUUUUUAAGGAGCCUUCCUCCAAUCCUGAUGCUGCAUUCGUCUUCAUAUAGUCGAGCUUCUCAGAUUAUUUGCUCAACGUACAGAUUUAAUAAGAUUGGUGAAAGGAUACAACACUGAGUCACACCUUUCCUGAUUUUAAACCAGGCAGUAUCCCCCUUUUCUGUUCGAACAGCUGCCUCUUUGUCUAUGUACAGGUUUCUCAUGAGCUCAAUUAAGUGUUCUGGAAUUCCCGUUCUUCACAAUGUUAUCCAUAAUUUGUUAUGAUCCACACAGUUGAAUGUCAGUUUGUCAUACUGUGGUGGCUUGUGUGUUACUUUGAUGCUGGAAGCUAUACCACCAGUAUUUCAAAUGCCAGCAGGGUGACCCAUGGCGGACAGGUUCCAGUGGUGCUUCCAGAUUAAAGACAGACUGAGGAGAAGGACCUGGCAAUCUGCUUCUGAAAAAAAUUGACCAGUGAAAACCUUAUGAAUAGCGACAGAACAUUAUCUGAUAUAGUGCCAGAAGAUGAGUCCCUCAGGUUGGGAGGAACUCCAAAUACAACUGGGGAAGAGCUGCCUCGUCAAAGUAGAGUUGACCUUAGUGAUGUGGAUGGAGUAAAGCUUUUGGGACCUUCAUUGCUGAUGUGGCAUGACUCAAAAUUAGAAGAAACAGCUGCAAACAUCCAUUAGUAAUUGGAAUGGUGAAUGUACGAAGUUUGAAUCUAGGAAAAUUGGAAGUCAUCAAAAACGAAAUGAAAUACUUGAGGAUAGAUAUCCUAGAUGUAAGUGAGCUGAAAGGGUCUGGUAUUGGCCAUUUUGAAUCAGGCAAUCAUAUGGUCUACUAUGCUGAGAAUGACAAAUUGAAGAGGAAUGGCAUCACUUUCAUCAUCAAAAAGGACAUUUCAAGAUGUGUCCUGAAGUGCAACACUGUCAAAAACCCAUUGCCGUCCAGUCAAUUCUGACUCGUAGGGACCCUAUAGGACAGAGUAGAAUUACUCCGGAGGGUUUCCAAGGAGCAGCUGGUGGAUUCAAACCGUAAACCUUUUGGUUAGCAGCCGUACACUAAACCACUAUGCCACCAGGGCUCCACAAAACUAUCAGUUUUAGGAUAAUAUCCAUAUGCUUACAAGGAAGACCAGUUAAUACAACUAUUAUUCAAAUUUACAUACCAACCACUAAUGCCAAAGAUGAAGAAAUUGAAGAUUUUUACCACCUUCUGCAGUCUGAAAUUGAUCAAACAUGCAGUCAACAUGCAUUAAUGAUUACUGGUGAUUAGAAUACAAAAGUUGGAAAAAAAAGAAGGAUCAGUAGUUGGAAAAUAUGGCUUUGGUGAUGGAAAUGAUGCUGGAGAUCUCAUGAUAGAAUUUUGUGAGACUAAAUGAUCUAUUCAUUGGAAAUACAGUUUUCUACAAUAUGAACGGUGACUGUACCUGUGGGCCUCACCAGAUGGAAUACAGAGGAAUCAAAUCAGCUACAUCUGUGGAAAGAGACAAUGGAGAAGCUCAAUACCAUCAGUCAGAGCAAGGCCAGGAACCGACGGUGGAACAGACCAUCAAUUGCUCAUAUGCAAGUUCAAGCUGAAGAUGAAGAAAAUUAGAGCAAGUCCACAAGAGCCAAAAUACAACCUUGAGUAUAUCAUACCUGAAUUUAGAGACAAUCUCAAGAAUAAAUUUGAUUCAUUGAAUGCUAAUGACCCAAAGACCUGACAAGUUGUGAGAUGUCAUCCAGGAUAUCAUUCAUGAAGGAAGGAAAAGGUCAUUAAAAAAAACAGGAAAGUAAGAAAAGACUAGAAUUGAUGUCAGAAGAGUGUCUAAAACUUGCUCUUGAAUGUAGAGCAGCUAAAGUGAAUGGAAGAAAUGAUAGGAGAGCUGAACAUAAGAUUUGAAAGGGCAGCUCGAGAAGACAAAGUAUUAUAAUAAGAUGUGCAAAGGCUUGGAGUUAAAAAACCCAAAGAGAAGAACACGCUUGUCAUUUCUCAAGCUGAAAGAACUGAAGAAAAAAUUCAAUACUGAAGGAUUCUAUAGGCAAAAUACUGAAUGAUUCAAGAAGCAUCAAAAAAAAAGAAAGACUACACAGAGUCACUAUACCAAAAAGAAUUGGUCAGUGUUCGACCAUUUCAGGAGGUAGCAUAUGCUCAAGGACCGGUGGUACUGAAGGAAGAAGUCCCAAGCUGCGCUGAAAACAUCGGCGAAAAACAGGGCUCUAGGAAUUGACGGAAUACCAACUGAGAUGUUUCAAUAAACGGAUGCAAAGGUGGGAGCGCUUUCUUGUCUAUGCCAAGAAAUUUGGAAGACAGCCAGCUACCUGGCCAACUGGCUAGAAGAGAUCCAUAUUAGUGCCCAUUCCAAAGAAAGGUGAUCCAACGCAAUGAGGAAAUUAUCAAACAAUAUUAUUAAUAUCACACCCUAGUAAAAUUUUGCUUUAGGUAAUACAAAAAUGGUUGCAGCAGUAUAUUGACAGAGUACUUCCAGGAAUUCAAGCCGAAUUCAGAAGAGCACAUGGAAUGAGGGAUACGAUGGCCGAUGUCAAAUGGACCUUAGCUGAAAACAGAGAAUACCAGAAAGAUGUUUACAUGUGAUUUAUUGACUAUGCAAAGGCAUUUGAUUGUGUGGAUCAUACCUAACCUCUAAGGCAUUUGAAUUGAAAAACAUAAGUUGUGCAACAAUAAAUAUUGGUUAAUCUUUUUAUGUAGUUCUUUAUGGAGCUGUGGUGGCGCAGUGGUUGAGAGCUUGGCCGCUAACCAUAAGGUCAGUAGUUCCAGUCUGCCAGCCGCUCCUUGGAAACCCUAUGGGGCAGUUCUACUCCGUCCUAUAGGGUCGCUAUUAACUACAAAAAACAGACCUGGGGAAACAGUAUUCAAGUGUUACUAGUUAUUUCCUCCGAGUCGGUUAGUAGGUUUGGGAGAUGGCAGUAAAAAGUGCUUGUAGUUUCAUACUUUAUGUGCUCUGCCCGCACCCCCAUGCCCCGGAGGAGGAGUGCCGUCAUCGUGUAUUUCUUCCGUAAUGGAAAAACCAAAAGGAAGCAGGUGUGAUACGUUCUGCCUUCAAUGGGAUGAUCCUUUCUUUGUGUUAAAAAAAAUCAACUCAGAGUAGUCAUUUAGUGUCUAUCUUUUUUUUAAAUCAGCAGCUUACUUUGAGAAACAAAAUAGACUGAAAUUUAGCCUUUAGGAAAACUUUGCUUCAACUUGUUUCAACUGAGAGGGCUGUCAUUAGGGAAUUUCAGAAAAUUUUAGGAAAAUCACGUGUGAAGAAUUUCAUGCUGUAGGCAUCUGUCUGGCUACUACAGGGCGAGCUUCCGUCCACGGAGGCUAGGCGGCCCAGUGGAGGACGGUGGAGGUGCAGGAGAGGCCCACGGAGGCUAGGCAGCCCAGUGGAGGACAAUGGAGGUGCCAGAGAGGCCCACGGAGGCUAAGCGGCCCAGUGGAGGAUGGUGGAGGUGCCGGAGAGGCCCACGGAGGCUAGGCGGCCCUGUGGAGGACGGUGGAGGUGCAGGAGAGGCCCACGGAGGCGAGGCAGCCCAGUGGAGGACGGGAGUGUGUGAGGGCAGCACCCAGCUCAGCAACAGGAACAGUUUCACUGGUUUUUUCACCUAAGGCUCCAGGUGUGUGUCCUAAGUUUGCUUCAGCGUUGGCUGAGGAUGGGGGGACUGACUGCCUGCUCUGCUUGACAGGGUUAUUGUGAUGCUAGAAAGAGUGUGUGUUUCUCUGGCGUACUCUGGACUGGUACCUGCUUGGCUAUCAGACAAUAGCACCCGUCUCUUUUGUAGGUAACAGACCUUACUUACCAGGCUAUCCAGUAGCUUGAUAAGUCUUGUUAAGACCUUCCUACCCUUCAGUCUUCAAAUCUGCAUUUACCAGGUCUCCUUUUCCUAUAAAUUUAUUUUCGAAGUAGGUUUCCUGGCUGGGAAGGGAAUGUGCAGACCAGCCAACACAAGUGUUCGUUCUGUGAUUUUGGGCGUAAAAUCGCUUUCAAAGCGAUUAGACUAACGGAGCUGAGGGCUUGUCAGGGGAGGAAAGUCAGGUUGGGGACUAGAAUCUUCAAGGCUGAAACGACAUUGUGGGUGUACAGAAAUGCAGGUGGGUCUGUGGGGGUGGCAUGUCCGUGUGGGCCUGGCUGUAAAUGAGCUGGAGCCUCAGCACCAGGUCUUGAAGGGCCUCUUAUGCAGUGCAGCUCUGCUUCCCAGUGGGACUCUCACCCCUGAAGGCUGGUCUGCAGUUCCUUCACGGUCACGGCCACAGUGCGGUGUUUGAAUCCCCUCCUCCUCAUGUCCUCCUAAAUACCAGAUAAUGCCACUAAGAUUUUCUCAACAGUCAUUCCCCCUUUUAAAGCCUUCUCCCACAUUCUCCCCCCAUCUCCCAGGGACUGAUUCUGGGUCUUCUUCUUCUGUGAGCCUGGAGCACCCUGGGCCUCCUUGGAAGCCUGGCCCUCAGGGUGCUGUAUGGUAGUUUACUUCUGCUGCUCUUACUGUGUCCUCCAGUAAGCUGCUGUUUUGAGGAUGGUACCCUGUGCUCUUCAUCAUUGUAGUCCCAGCACCUAGCUAAUGCGGGCCUGCAACAGCUGAGCAAAGAUUCAGACAAGUAUUUUCAAAUGGACAAAGAGUAGCCAGCUUGUACAUUUUUGUGUAAUGAUUAGUGUGUGUGAACGCCAGCUAGAAAAGGGGAGAGCAGGUAUUCUCAGUGUAUUAAGCUCUUUCAGAAAGAAGCUCUGCUAAGCUCAGACCAGCAGAAACUGCUCAGAAGUCAUGAGGAAGUGGGAAGCUGAGCCCACACACCCUCUCUAGGCAGGGGCUUUUCAGGGAGACAUAGCCUUUUCCGUCAGAUCCUGCCGUGCUGUGUGGUUAAUAUCAUCAGCCCUGCAGGUUAGGAAUAGGAAGGAGGGCCAGAGAAGAAUAUGGAGGCUUGUUGCUUACCACGGGGUUUUAGAAAAGACCAGACCCACGCUCUGCUCAGUUUCCACCUUUCCAGUGAUGCCCGUUCUGACCACCUUGUUUAAUACCUCAGGAUCACCUGCCCCCAGUGCUCCCGUUUUCCUCCUUUCCCCAUGGCACGGUCACAUUUUAGCAUGCCAUUUGAUGCACUUAUUUGUGGGGUAUAUUGAUUUUUGUCCGUAUGUACCUGUAAAAUAUAAGCUCCCAUGGCUAUUACCUACCUAGUCCCGUAAGCUAGCCAGCGUGUGGACAAGGAGCAGAUAGAUUUUAAUAUCAGCAAAGCCCUUUCGGAAGAAAAGUACUGGCAGAUAUCAGCAGAGCGGGACACUUAUACCAGGUAAAACAUGAAUUUCCUCCUUUUUCCCUAUACACAUGCAAAAGAUAAUUUAAAUUUAUUGGCAAAAUAGCUAAUUGUAAACCUUUUAAUCUCUCCAGUUAGCCAGCAGAGGGCAGCACAGAUCGAAUUUACCGCAAACAUUGUUUUUAACUUACCUGAAGGGGCAUUUAAAACCACUGUAGCCACCAUUUUCAGACAGAGGUAUACCUAAGGUAUGACAGGUAUGGCAUCUGUCCUGGGCAUCACUUGGAGGGGAGGAGGGGGCACCGCCUCCACGCAGUUUCUGUUAACCAUUGCAGGUUCCAUUGCCAUCUGUGAGAGGUCGUUCAGGACGUUAAAAUUACUAAUACUUUCGUAUUUGAGAGCCUCCAUGGGUCAAGGCAGACUGUGUGAUCUUGCUCUGCUGAGUGUGGAAAGAGAAGAAACUGAAAAAAGAAAAAUGACCCUGAGCGCAUCAUAGACCAGUUUUCAUCAGUGAACGCAAGGAAGGUGCAGUUGUCAUUUUCAUGUAGCCUCAUAAGGUGUAAAGUAAAAGAUUAAGGAGCUUGACUUUUUGUUAUGGUACAGUUAUCUAAAAGGUGGGUGUCAGAUGUUUGGACAGGGGUGCAGAGACGUAGCGGGGGGGGGGGCAGAAGGGAACAGUUGCUCCUGGGAACAAGUCCAGGGGGCUUCAGACGAGGUGCGGAAUGACAUUCCAAGGUGCCACAAAUAUGAAAGGCACCUGACGAGGGAGCCUGGACAAGAGGGGGAGGGCAUUGCUGCUGAAGCAUUCCCGCUGUAAACGCCUGUUCAUCUUGAAAUUGCGGGGGGGAGCCCACAACUUAGAGCUUGCCCUGGGUGCCUGGUCUGGCUCUGCAGGGGCGCAGUUCCAGUGCUUGCCGUGGGUGCUGUUUUCUGUAGGUACGCCUCUGUGGGUAAGUAGGGCUGGCGUCUUUUUUCACGUUCUUCUUUCUCACUUGUGAAUCUUACUGUUUCUUUUCCAUAUUUAUGGAGGAAGGUGUUUUGUUCCUGUUUACUUUAGCGUCAUGAGUAUGUCAAAUUCAUAUAUUCUGAACUAUACGUGACACAUUUUCAAAUGUCUCCUAAGAAUGUGGUUCUGUAGGGAUAUUCUGCCAUUGCCACCACAGAGUGGGGCAUCACCUUAAUCAGACGUCUUCCUGAUUUACCCACAGUCAUGGACGGGGGUCUGCGUGUGUGGGACCACAGUCCUCUCUGAGCAUCGGAUGGAUGCUGUCGGCCCCUUCUCAGGAAGAAAGUGCACACAGCUUCAAAAUCUUGCAAACUUCACUUCUGUGGCGUCAGUGAUAGAUUUUCUCCACGUAGAAAUGAGAUCAGCCUUUGCAAAAAAAUUAUUUUACUUUUUAUUCUUUUCUUGCAAAAUUAGUGGCCAUUCCUUGGGCAAAGAUGAAAUAAAUUCAGAUUGUGUGCAUGAACAAAAUAAAGGACGUGGCUUAUUUUUGGUACAUCUAAUUGAUUUUGACUCUUUCUGUUGAUGAUAAAAGUGCUAAAAAUUCUGCCUGAACAAGGGUCCUAUCGGCAGAUGUGAUGGAAAGCCCCACAGCUUGUUCUGCCCAGUGCAGGGCAGGUGAAAGGCAAGGAAUGGCGUCAUUCUGUGAAUUCUUCAUUUGAAUCCUUUGUGACAUAGUACUUAUUUCCUUUGUCCUCAAGUUAUUUUUGGCAAGCUACACUUCAUAAUAUUUAUGUCUGUGAGGAAGACCAUUACAAAUCCACAUUUUAUUUUUUGGAAGUAACCUUUAAAAGUGUUUUGCAAUAUUUCCAGGUUUCUGCCUGCAGAGGAUUGACAAGCCUUUGUCACUCUGUGUGCCAACCUAUGGAUGCCCUUCCAGAGGUUUUAGGACAUUUACGUGACAAGCUCCUUUCCCCUUGGCUGCUUAUCAUGAAAGAUCUGAGCUGCAGAGGGUGAGGCCACCAGGAGCAAAACGAUGUACCCCCAAAUUUCAGAAAGGCUUCAGGGUACCCAGGACCUUUGAGAAUGGAGAUAAUGGAGUGAGGCUACAACCUGGAUUGACACCUGGGUUGAAAGUGCUCAUGGUGGACAGUUAAGACGCCCAGAUCUCCUCCCCAUCUCUUGCAGCAAGGCGAUUUCUCUUCCACUUCUGGUAAAACUUGAAAUUUUAAUUUCCGAGGAAGGCUGUGAAGGCAGCGAGAGUAAGUGAAAGGCUGCAUACUUAAUUGUGAGAUCCUCUCCUUUCUUCCUUUACACCAGCUCCCCAAAUGCUGGUGGCUAGGUUGACACCCCACACAAUAGAAGUAGGAAAUUGGAGACUACUGCUGUGAGUUGUCACUAGCCUCCCUGCAUGUGGGUUCUCUGCAUGUUGCUGCUUCACCUAUUACAGUGCCACUCCUCCAUCAAUAGCCACAUUUGCCACAUAGAGCUUCCAGUCAGGUUGUCAGUGCCUCACUCUUAAAUGUGAAGGAACAGCCUGUGCCUACGAGACAUUUGAGGAAAGCCCUCAGCAUUAUCAAGAGAACAAAGCAAACAGAGCAAAAGAAAUUUGAGGACACAAAUUGUGGAAGAUAUAGAAGAAGCCUUUAAAAGGUAUAUCCUUAAGAUAGUAUAGUCAUGAAACAAGAAUAGGGUACUAUCAAAAAGGAGUAUUCAGAGAUUGAGUUCUUGCAAAUUAAAACUACCAGAAACAAAACAUUCAAUAGAAAAGUUGAAAGAUGAAUUAGAGAAUAUUUCCUAGAAAGCAGCUCCAAAAGGAGAUGAAAAGUAGAAAAGAUUAGAAAAAUUAAAUGAUCGAUAGUAGAAAUCCAGUGUUUAACAGAAGUUCUAAAAAAGAAAAAUCAGAAAGAAGGUUAGGGAAUUAUUCAAGAAUACAAGGCUUUAGAACUGGGGUCUACUUAGAGGCUAGCAUAACUCAUGAAAUUUCACAGCUUUAAGGGUAAAGAUAAGAUCCUAAAAGCUUUCUGAAAGGGCGGCGGGGGGGGGAAGGUCACAUUUGAAAUGCUGAGAGUCAGAAAUGCACCAGAACUAACAGCUAUACUGGAAGCUGGAAAACAGUGAGGAGUUGCCUUCAGCGUUCUGAGGAAAAAUGAUUUUGACUUAGGUUUCUGUAGCCAGCCAGAUUGUCAAUCAAGUGUGAGAAAAGAAUAGCGGUCUUUUAUGACAUGUAAAAUUUCCAGCGACAACAAUCCACCCCUCCACAUCCUUUCUUUAUGGUCACUAGGGGAUGUGCUCCACCAAGUUGAGCAAGCGAUCUGAGAAAGAAGGAGAUACAGGGUCAAAGACCAGGAUCCAGCAUGGGAAAGUACCCGAGGGAAUUCCCAGGAGGAGGGCUUUGAAAGCAGACCCCAAGAGCAACACAACCAGACUGGUGGGGCCUGGAGAUUCCUGGUGAGGCGUCUCAGAAAAGCGGUCACUGAUAUGUUUGGCCAUACUGAGAGAGUUUUGUACCUUGUAGAGAGCUUGGUGAUUAAUCAGUAAUAGACACGGAAAGCUAAGCAAAAACACACAGUGCCUCUGUGAUGGUUUUAAUCCUUGUACAUUACGUAGCUCAGCUGUGAACAGCACUUACGGA